CUUCUCCAUCCUCUUCUUCACGCUCAGAAAGCUACUGCGGCAAAACCUUCCAACGGUGUGGAGAAGCAAAAGCCGACGAUCCUGGCCUGGCCAUGCUGCCUCGUAGAUCUCAUAGUUUUCAUCGGCUCAAAGCAAUGGAGUCUUGAUACAAGAAGAAGAAGAAGAGGAGGAGGAGAAAGAUAGAGAUGAGAUGGGUGUUCCUCUGCCCAUAGAAACCCUAAGAAAGCGAGCGGCCUUCAUGAGAGAAACACUCUAGAAGAGCCAGACCAAAGAGGCACUCUAGAAGAGCUAGACCAUUACAGACAACAUGAUCGUUAUUAUCGGCUCCUUCGAUCACCGUCUCUCUGCUCUAGAGACUGCGAUGCGCCUCACUCAGGUAUGCGCCCCACUCAAAGACUAAGGGCAGGUUGGUCAUUAUGGUGAAAUGAGGAACCAGAAACGAACUUUCUGGUUUGGUUUCAGUUGGGUGAGGAUAUCUUUCGGUUACAUUCAUUUCUUUCACUGAGUGAAACCAAUAAACAACAAUAACAAAGAAAGAAAGAGAGAGUAAUGACACAUCUUCUCUCCUUAUUGCGUAUGACUGAAUCUGAAUGUCUUUCUCUGGGUUGAUGAAGAAUGGUGGUAGAGUAGAGAGAGAGAGCAGGAGUCUUGACCACUGACGUUGGCUUUCGUGCCGACGUCGUUUCCAGCUUCCAUGCGUGACAUGCAGAACUAAUUUUAAUCGGCAAGCGACGUGGAGAGACUGGACCCGUUGGAUCGGGACUCGAGAGAAACGAGGUGAUAGUGAUGAUGAGGUGCAUUUAAGAGGGAGCAGGAAGCAUGGCGGAAAGUUGAAGCCUGUCACGCUCAAACUCAGAGAGUCUCUCUCGCCUCAUUCUAUCUUUCUCUCACUCUUCUCUCCGGAGCUCGGGCUCCCCACAUCCACAUGAGGAAGAUGAUAAAACACAAAGAAAGGGAGAUAAAGCGUCAACAGGAAGGUAGUUGGUUAGGUCUGCAGGCGGCCCCAUCACUGUCUGGUCUGGUCUGCCCUCAAUUCUCGCGCAAAUUGGUGGACGAAUGAACGAGAGGCGGAGGAAGGAGGAAGGAGAUAAAGAACACAAAGCAGACCAGCCAUCGUUUUCAGAACGUGGGGAUUUGAUGGGUGGUAGCAGCAGCAGCAGAAGAGACGUCUUCUCGACAUUCAGCUUGCAAAGACACAAGCUCUUCUCCUUUCCUGGCAUCAUUCUCAGACAAAUAAAUCUUGUUUGAGAUCGGUGAAAAAGAUCUUAAUUGAGGAGUCAAAUGUCCAACCGGUUAAUAGCCCAGUUACUGUUUGUGGUGACAUUCAUGGCCAGUUCAUGAUCUAAUGAAACUCUUUCAGACGGGAUGUCAUGUACCAGAGACAAAUUACAUAUUUAUGGGAGAUUUUGUUGAUUGUGGCUACAAUAGUCUAGAAGUUUUUACAAUUCUUUUGCUUCUCAAAGCAAGGUAU